rnacentral:lncRNA from 1 species
CUCCUUCUGAGCUGUCUUUGUGACUCAGCGCCUCUCAGAGAAUCUCAGUGCCCCCAGAACUCGGUGCACCUGGGAAGCCCCUGGGGGAGGGGCGCUCAGGCCUGGCCCCCUGCCUGGAGCCCGAGGCUGGGGCUCUGCUUCCCUCUGUUGGGGUGGCUGCCUCACACCGCGUCCUGGCAGUGUGUGGUUAAGUCUACAGACAAGGACACCAUGGCGGCCAAGGGAAACUGCCCGUUCCUCUGGCCCCGAUGGCCUGCGCUUGCUCUAACGACACCCUGUGUGAGUAAGGGGAGGGUCGGUGCUGCCCACAGCUCAAGAUGAGGGGCGUGACGUUGAGUAGACAAGUCCCCCAUGGGGCAAACAUUGCAUGGUGGCUGGGCCGGGCCUGCUGGGCCCCUGGGGCGAGGGCGGAUGGGGACACCCUGGGCCCUGCCUGUCUGCCACCAGCUCACCGGCUGUUUCUGUGUUUUCAACCCCACACAGCCAUCCGUCAGCACAGACGUGGACAGGCCACCACAGGGGUGGCGUUCGGCUGCUGUUCCUGUGGCCUGAUCGCUGCAGGGAGACAGGCCUGGCCGGCGGGGGCAGAGAAGAGAGACCCACGGCUGAAAGGAGGCACAGGCAGGGUGCACCUCGUGCUCCUGAGGAGGAGCCUCGUCCCCAGCAUCCCGGCUUCUCUCUGACAACCGGCGCGAGAGCUGGGUUGCAGCAGGAGCUGAGCAGCAUGCGGGAGGAGCAGUGGGCUGCUUCCCUUCCGAGAGCGUUUCCAGGACAGACAGAGCAGCGGGCUGCUUCCCUUCCGAGAGCGUUUCCAGGACGGACAGAGCAGUGGGCUGCUUCCCUUCCGAGAGCGUUUCCAGGACGGACAGAGCAGCGGGCUGCUUCCCUUCCGAGAGCGUUUCCAGGACGGACAGAGCAGCGGGCUGCUUCCCUUCCGAGAGCGUUUCCAGGACGGACAGAGCAGCGGGCUGCUUCCGAGAGCGUUUCCAGGACGGACAGAGCAGCGGGCUGCUUCCCUUCCGAGAGCACUUCCAGGACGGACAGAGCCUCCGAGAGGCUGCCUGGUUCUCUCCUGUUCAGGUGGCCACGGGACUGAAGGAACGGAGCUUGGGGAGCCACAGGCUCUGCCACGCAGUGCGUGGCCUCCUCACCAGCUACGGCUGGCUUUCCAGCUCUGAGCCAGCUGCUGGGAGCUUAUGCAGAGAGUGGUGAAACCCAGACUGGCUCCCGCUGCUGACACGACCCCCGGAGUGGGCGGGAGGACUCUCAGGCCACCAAACAGCCCAUUGAACGGAAAUUGGCACAAAUACUACAAACAAGGGGAUCGCUUCCUGGGCUAUAAAAGCAGAUCAUAAUAAAACUGAUGAACUUCCCUGGUCUCUGAGAUGA